GAUAAAAUUUUUAUGUUUUAAGUAAUUUAAUUUAAAUUUAAUUUACAUAUAAAUUUUAGUAUAAAAUUUUAAUUAUUUAAAAAAUAAUUAAUAAUAAAAAUAUAGUAAUUAAAAUUAAAAAUUUAAGAAAUUAAGAUUUAGUAAUAUAAAAAUUAAUAACAAAUUUUGUGCCAGCCGUUGCGGUUAUACAAAAAUUAAGUUAAAUUUCUUUAGUUUAUAAUAAAUAAUAAUAAUAAUAAAUUAAAAUAAAUAUAAAAUUAUUAAGUGAAAUUUUAAUUUAUUUAAAUUUUAAUUUAAAUUAUGAUUUAAUAAAUUUAAUAAUAAACUAGGAUUAGAUACCCUAUUAUUAAAAAUUUAAUUUUAAACACUAAAAUAGUAGAUAAAAAAUAUUAAAACUUAAAUAAUAUGGCGGUAUUUUAGUUCAUUUAGAGGAAUCUGUCUAAUAAUUGAUAAUCCACGAAUAAAUUUACUUAAUUUAUAAUUUUAUAUAUCGUUGUUAAAAAAAUAUUUUUUAAUAAAAAUAAUAUUUUAAAUUUUAAAAUAAAAAUUAAAUCAGAUCAAGAUGUAGAGUAUAAUUAAGAAUAUGAUGGAUUACAAUAAAAUAAUUUAAAUGAAUAAUUAAUUUUAAAAUUAAUUUGAAAGUGGAUUUAAAUGUAAUUUUAAUUAAUUUAUUAAAAUGAUUAAAAAUUAAAAUAUGUACAUAUUGCCCGUCACUUUCAUUUGAAAAUUGAAAUAAGUCGUAACAAAGUAGAGGUACUGGAAAGUGUUUCUAGAAUGAA
rnacentral:ncRNA from 1 species